rnacentral:rRNA from 1 species
GACGAACGCUGGCGGCGUGCUUAACACAUGCAAGUCGAACGGUAAGGCCCUUCGGGGUACACGAGUGGCGAACGGGUGAGUAACACGUGAGUGAUCUGCCCUGCACUUCGGGAUAAGCCUGGGAAACUGGGUCUAAUACCGGAUAGGACCCUGGGAUGCAUGUCCUGGGGUGGAAAGCUUUUGCGGUGUGGGAUGGGCCCGCGGCCUAUCAGCUUGUUGGUGGGGUGAUGGCCUACCAAGGCGACGACGGGUAGCCGGCCUGAGAGGGUGACCGGCCACACUGGGACUGGGCUACGGCCCAGACGCCUACGGGAGGCAGCAGUGGGGAAUAUUGCACAAUGGGCGCAAGCCUGAUGCAGCGACGCCGCGUGAGGGAUGAUGGCCUUCGGGUUGUAAACCUCUUUCAGCACCGACGAAGCGCAAGUGACGGUAGGUGCAGAAGAAGGACCGGCCAACUACGUACCAGCAGCCGCCGUAA